rnacentral:lncRNA from 1 species
UGUUUCCAUUUGUGAACAACAUAUAUGUGUGUAUGAAUAAAAUUUAUAAAUGGACAUAACCUUAUACACAAGAUUUAAAAUAACCCCUGGGCACAUGUGGGCCCAACCCAGAGAUAGCCCUUCCUGAAAUGACUGGAGCCAAGAGCCUGUCACGCUCGCGGUAUUCAGUGCAAGGUCUGAUCGCGUCUUCUGUCACUCAAGGCCUGAGGGCGCGGAGCCUGGAGCUCUAUCCAUUAAGGGCGCUGGGGUGGGAACUGUCCAAUCAGGUUCACAGUCAGAGAGGAAGGGGUGGCUCCCGGUACCUGGCGGGGCCUUUGUCUCUUGCUCCAGCCAGAGCUCGAGGUUAGCUCUUCACUGCCCUGUGUCUUCUUUCCAAGGGUCUCGGUGAUUCGGCCACAGCCUCAGCCUCCAUCACGCGGUGAACUGAUGGUGCUGGAAGAUUCAUAGACUCCAGGACAUUCCUGAAGCCGAGAAAAGGUUAAGUAGGGUCUGGCCUGGAAUACUCUCCUAGAUGAAGAUAGCCCAACCAUGAGCCACCUUCGAAGCAGAUGAGAUGAAAUUAAAGCUCUUCAACUCCUAAAGGCCCAGAGACUAUCACAAAAGAGGUCAGAAAUCCUGAAGGUCACUUUCUGACAAACUCAGGAACCCCAGGUUUAUCUUGGAGCCUCAAGAGGAGAUAAAUUCACCCAACUCAGGCUGGAGUGCAGUGGCGUGAUCUCAGCUCGCUACAAC